CCUACGGGGGGCAGCAGUGAGGAAUAUUGGUCAAUGGACGAGAGUCUGAACCAGCCAAGUAGCGUGAAGGAUGAAUGCCCUAUGGGUUGUAAACUUCUUUUAUAUGGGAAUAAAAUGUUCCACGUGUGGGAUUUUGUAUGUACCAUAUGAAUAAGGAUCGGCUAACUCCGUGCCAGCAGCCGCGGUAAUACGGAGGAUCCGAGCGUUAUCCGGAUUUAUUGGGUUUAAAGGGAGCGUAGGUGGAUUGUUAAGUCAGUUGUGAAAGUUUGCGGCUCAACCGUAAAAUUGUAGUUGAAACUGGCAGUCUUGAGUACAGUAGAGGUGGGCGGAAUUCGUGGUGUAGCGGUGAAAUGCUUAGAUAUCACGAAGAACUCCGAUUGCGAAGGCAGUUCACUGGACUGCAACUGACACUGAGGCUCGAAAGUGUGGGUAUCAAACAGGAUUAGAUACCCUGGUAGUC
rnacentral:rRNA from 1 species